GCUAACUUCGUGCCAGGCGGCGGGGUAAUGCGGGGGGUGCGAGGGUGAAGCGGAAUUACUGGGCGUAAAGCGCAUGCAGGUGGUUUGUUAAGUCAGAUGUGAAAGCCCGGGGCUCAACCUCGGAAUAGCAUUUGAAACUGGCAAGCUAGAGUACUGUAGAGGGGGGUAGAAUUUCAGGUGUAGCGGUGAAAUGCGUAGAGAUCUGAAGGAAUACCGGUGGCGAAGGCGGCCCCCUGGACAGAUACUGACACUCAGAUGCGAAAGCGUGGGGAGCAAACAGGAUUAGAUACCCGAGUAGUC
rnacentral:rRNA from 1 species